AAGAAAUUGUCACUGUCAAAAGAAAAAUGCACCAAUAAAGAAUAUCCAACCCAAAAGAUGUAUUAAAGAGUCCUAAAGGUACCAGGCAGAGCAGUGGAACAGUGAAGGCGUCCCUGCCAGAUCCUCCUGCAGGACUGACAACCAGACCCCAUCCUCCUGAUGGAAACAGCCAAUAUUCACAAACCAGAUCCCAGCACUUCGAGAAUUCCAUCACCAAGAUCUCCCUACAGGGGAAGGCGGCUCAGAUGGUUUGUAUCCCCAGAGAUUUAUAGAAGAAUUC
rnacentral:lncRNA from 1 species